GAGGAGAGGGUACACCCGAUCCCAUUCCGAACUCGGAAGUUAAGCUCUCCAUCGCCGAUGAUACUGCAUAACGUCAUGUGGGAAAGUAGGCCGCUGUCAACG
rnacentral:rRNA from 1 species